GACGGGGCCGCACAAGCGGAGGAACAUGUGGUUAAUCGAUGAUACGCGAGGAACCUUACUGGGCUUAAAUGUAGAGUGCAUUUUUAGAGAUAGAAAUUCCCUUCGGGGCUUUCUGCAAGGUGCUGCAUGGUUGUCGUCAGCUCGUGCCGUGAGGUGUCGGGUUAAGUCCCAUAACGAGCGCAACCCUUAUCGUUAGUUGCCAUCUGGUAAUGCAGGGGACUCUAGCGAAACUGCCACCGUAAGGUGAGAGGAAGGUGGGGAUGACGUCAAAUCAGCACGGCCCUUAUGUCCAGGGCUACACACGUGUUACAAUGGUCGGUACAGAGGGCAGCUACCUGGUGACAGGAUGCUAAUCUCGAAAACCGGUCUCAGUUCGGAUCGAAGUCUGCAACUCGACUUCGUGAAGCUGGAUUCGCUAGUAAUCGCGCAUCAGCUAUGGCGCGGUGAAUACGUUCCCGGGCCUU
rnacentral:rRNA from 1 species